rnacentral:rRNA from 1 species
CGAAGCGAGAGUGACGGUACCUGCAGAAGAAGGACCGGCCAACUACGUGCCAGCAGCCGCGGUAAUACGUAGGGUCCGAGCGUUGUCCGGAAUUAUUGGGCGUAAAGGGCUCGUAGGCGGUUUGUCGCGUCGGGAGUGAAAACUCAGGGCUCAACCCUGAGCGUGCUUCCGAUACGGGCAGACUAGAGGUAUUCAGGGGAGAACGGAAUUCCUGGUGUAGCGGUGGAAUGCGCAGAUAUCAGGAGGAACACCGGUGGCGAAGGCGGUUCUCUGGGAAUUACCUGACGCUGAGGAGCGAAAGCAUGGGGAGCGAACAGGAUUAGAUACCCUGGUAGUCCAUGCCGUAAACGUUGGGCGCUAGGUGUGGGGACCUUCCACGGUUUCCGUGCCGCAGCUAACGCAUUAAGCGCCCCGCCUGGGGAGUACGGCCGCAAGGCUAAAACUCAAAGGAAUUGACGGGGGCCCGCACAAGCGGCGGAGCAUGCUGAUUAAUUCGAUGCAACGCGAAGAACCUUACCUGGGUUUGACAUAUGCCGGAAAGCUGCAGAGAUGUGGCCCCCCUUGUGGUCGGUAUACAGGUGGUGCAUGGCUGUCGUCAGCUCGUGUCGUGAGAUGUUGGGUUAAGUCCCGCAACGAGCGCAACCCUCGUUCUAUGUUGCCAGCACGUUAUGGUGGGGACUCAUAGGAGACUGCCGGGGUCAACUCGGAGGAAGGUGGGGAUGACGUCAAGUCUUCAUGCCCCUUAUGUCCAGGGCUUCAAGCAUGCUACAAUGGCCGGUACAAAGGGCUGCGAAACCGUAAGGUGGAGCGAAUCCCAAAAAGCCGGUCUCAGUUCGGAUUGGGGUCUGCAACUCGACCCCAUGAAGUCGG